rnacentral:lncRNA from 1 species
CCAGAGUCACCACACUGACCACGGCCAAAGGGGCAGUCGUGACAUUGCCAAGUAUUUACACCCCAUCACAAAGUGUACCAAUGACAGCACACUUCAGACUGUGCCACUGCAGCUGUCUGCCAACUCCAAGGUCCCACACCGAAUGGAGUUUAUCUACAGUGACAGCGGGCCGUUGAUGUUGGUCUCUCGGCAGGCUCUGGCCUAGGCACAGGCUCAGGGAAUGCUGCCAAAACCAGCCAGUGCCAAUGCUUCUGCUUAGACCCCCAUCCUCACAGUCAACUGUGACCACUACACCAAUCAUCAGAGUGUAUCACCAGUGUAUCAGCUACUACCAAUAUUAAACUUAAUUCCACUACAGGAACUGCCAUUCAGAAACCACCCGCCGCUACAGGAACUGCUAUUUUCACGCCAUCAGUGGGAGCUACCAUCAUUAAACCAGCCGGUGUUACAGGGACAGCCAUCAGAAAACCCAGCUCUACCAUGGGGCCUGUUAUCAAAGCCAGUCAAAUGACUCCAAACAGCAGCACACAGGGGACCUUUAACCAGAGGACUAAUUCUGUCACUGCAACUAUCAUAAUUAAUACCUCUGCUGUAAAGUCUGUGGUCAAAGGUGUUCUCUCCACCGAAGAGGGAUAAUAAUUUGGCAGCGGUCAAAAUAGGGACGUGUUUGCUUUCACACAGACGACGACCUGGCAAUGUUCCGGCAAUUUGCCGGGUCCGACAUGCAGUGUGAAAGGGGCUCUAAUGUACCGACCGGAUCCAGCACAAACACAUCAUCAACCCCAGUCACUGUUACAGCUUUAAGUUCAUUUUACAAGUUUAUAUUAACCCUGGAAAGCCUGACGAUGAAAUUCUGAUUGCUUGUAAUGGAAGUUGCUUUAAUCCAAGCAGUGUUCAUCUUGAAACAUUACUAACAAUAUUCAAGUUAUUCCUCCAUUUACUUUAUAAAACGUUGGGAUAAAAUUUGGCCAGUACGGAAAAGCAGAUAAAUAUUUUGUGUUAUCUCCAAUAAAUGGCAGAUAUAAAAAUUUUGCACUUUUUUUGCCUAAAUAAUCUAAAAAUAAAACACGCAUUACAACUUAUAUGUACAGUAUGAUAAAUGUAUAUUUGCUAA